rnacentral:lncRNA from 1 species
CCGUCAAAUUGUUAUUAAAAAUGUUUUCAAGCUCCGAUAGUGACAGUGAUUCCAUAAGUAAUUGUGUAAAAUUGUGGUUGCUUUCCAGAAGAAAAUUCAGAAAAUGGGGUGUGCAUCCAUUGAACAAAGAACGUACUAAACUUGGUGAAUUCUAUACAUUGUAUCAACGUCUUAAAAGUUUUCCGAAUAGGUUCUACGGAUAUUUGCGAAUGUCUCAGUCGACAUUUAGUUAUAUUUUACAGCUGCUAGAACCUAGAAUUGAAAAGGUACUUAGCAAGUGGAAAUUCUUUUAGAAGUCUCGCAUUUUCAUUUCGAUUGGAAGCCUCUACUAUUGCGAGUAUUGUACGAGAAAUCACUGUUUUAUUAAGGGAAGUUUUGCAGCCUUUACAUAUGAAGCAACCCACUGAAGAACAGUUCAAAGAAAUUGCCAAUGGUUUCUAUUACAAAUGGAAUUUCCCACAAUGUCUAGGUGCAAUUGAUGGUAAACAUGUUCGAAUCAAAUGCCCAACUCGGUCAGGAACAAUGUUUUACAACUAUAAGCAAUAUUUUUCAAUUGUAUUACAAGCAGUCAGUGAUGCUAACUGUAAGUUUUUAUUUAUUGAAGUUGGGGCACAGGGCAUAACAGAGCGAUGGAGAAACGUUUCGGAGCUCUAAACUGUAUAAAUUAAUGGAAAGGCAAAGGCUGAACAUACCUGCUGAAGCAUACAUUCCAUGUUCAAAUAUUAAGGGGCCUUUUGUUUUUAUAGGCGAUGAAGCGUACCCUUUGUUGAAGAAUUUAAUGAAGCCAUACUGUAGAAACCAAUUAAAUGAAGAAAAUGAGCUAUUUAACAAAAGGCUUUCUCGAGCACGAAAAACUAUUAUAACAAUAAAAUGGAGAAUAUUAACCAAAGCUAUUGAAACUCAUCCUGACACCGCUGAUGCAAUUAUUAAGGCUAUAUGUAUUCUCCACAAUACUAUAAUUAACAAAGAACACAUAAUAUUUGAUGACUUUGCGGAGGACAGAAUGAGUGGGGUGCUGCAAGAUGUCCAAGCAACAAGAAGAAACAAUCGUUCCACAACAGAGGCUGUUUCGGUCAGAAAUUCAUUUAAGGAAUAUUUUGUUACCAAAAAUAAUAUUUGAUAUUAUGUUAUUAAGUCUGUUUACAUUUCUUAGGUUAAGACUUUCAGAAAUAUGGUCAUUAGGACAUUAGAUGCACAUAAAAUAAUUCACAUUGGACUAGUUUCACAUAAUUAUUAUCAUAAAUAUAAAAAAAUACCAAUAAACUAUACGUUUUUAUCGUAA